UUAGUUUAUUUAACUAUUUUCAGAUUUAACAUGGUUAAAAGAAUUUAUUGUGGGCUACUGACGAGCACUGGCCAAGGGCUUAAAAACCCCCGACGGUCCGGUUAAAGACGGGCCCGCCAAAGCAACAUGGUAAUUAUACAUAGGGUUGGAGAUCGGGCCUGGAAGACCCUAACUCAUUAAUGAUCCUUCCGCAGGUUCACCUACGGAAA
rnacentral:misc_RNA from 1 species